rnacentral:rRNA from 1 species
UACAGAGGGGGCAAGCGUUGUUCGGAAUUACUGGGCGUAAAGGGCGCGUAGGCGGCCUUCUAAGUCGAACGUGAAAUCCCCGGGCUCAACCCGGGAACUGCGUCCGAUACUGGCAGGCUUGAAUCCGGGAGAGGGAUGCGGAAUUCCAGGUGUAGCGGUGAAAUGCGUAGAUAUCUGGGGGAACACCGGUGGCGGAAGGCGGCAUCCUGGACCGGCAUUGACGCUGAGGCGCGAAAGCCAGGGGAGCAAACGGG